rnacentral:rRNA from 1 species
CGGGGCUUAAUGUCUUGUAAUUGGAAUGAUGGGAAUUUAAACCUCUUCCAGAGUAUCAAUUGGAGGGCAAGUCUGGUGCCAGCAGCCGCGGUAAUUCCAGCUCCAAUAGCGUAUAUUAAAAUUGUUGCAGUUAAAAAGCUCGUAGUUGAAUUUCUGCUGCAUCGCUGUUCUCCUUGAUGAGUAUUGCGUUGUGACUUUUUUCGGACAUUGCUUCGGUUUUGUCCGGAUGAUUACUUUGAGAAAAUUAGAGUGCUCAAAGCAGGCUUUUGCCUUGAAUAGUUUAGCAUGGAAUAAUAAAGUAGGACUUUGGUUCUAUUUUGUUGGUUUUAGGUACCAAAGUAAUGGUUAAUAGGAACAGUUGGGGGCAUUCGUAUUUAACUGUCAGAGGUGAAAUUCUUAGAUUUGUUAAAGACGAACUACUGCGAAAGCAUUUGCCAAGGAUGUUUCCAUUAAUCAAGAGC